AAAGGUGAAGUAUAAGUAUUUACAUCUCAGUUACAUUGAGAAAAUCCAUCAUUUAGAGGCUCCUUUA
rnacentral:tRNA from 1 species